rnacentral:rRNA from 1 species
AGUGAACGCUGGCGGCGUGCCUAAUACAUGCAAGUCGAACGAGUGGCGGACGGGUGAGUAAUGUCUGGGAAACUGCCUGAUGGAGGGGGAUAACUACUGGAAACGGUAGCUAAUACCGCAUACCAUAGGAUGUGCCCAGAUGGGAUUAGCUAGUAGGGGGGGUAAAGGCUCACCUAGGCGACGAUCAGUAGCGGGUCUGAGAGGAUGAUCCGCCACACUGGGACUGAGACACGGCCCAGACUCCUACGGGAGGCAGCAGUGGGGAAUUUUGGACAAUGGGCGCAAGCCUGAUCCAGCCAUGCCGCGUGUCUGAAGAAGGCCUUCGGGUUGUAAAGGACUUUUGUCAGGGAAGCGGUACCUGAAGAAUAAGCACCGGCUAACUACGUGCCAGCAGCCGCGGUAAUUC